rnacentral:rRNA from 1 species
GAUGAACGCUGGCGGCGUGCCUAAUACAUGCAAGUCGAGCGAACAGACGAGGAGCUUGCUCCUCUGACGUUAGCGGCGGACGGGUGAGUAACACGUGGAUAACCUACCUAUAAGACUGGGAUAACUUCGGGAAACCGUAGCUAAUACCGGAUAAUAUAUUGAACCGCAUGGUUCAAUAGUGAAAGACGGUUUUGCUGUCACUUAUAGAUGGAUCCGCGCCGCAUUAGCUAGUUGGUAAGGUAACGGCUUACCAAGGCAACGAUGCGUAGCCGACCUGAGAGGGUGAUCGGCCACACUGGAACUGAGACACGGUGCAGACUCCUACGGGAGGCAGCAGUAGGGAAUCUUCCGCAAUGGGCGAAAGCCUGACGGAGCAACGCCGCGUGAGUGAUGAAGGUCUUCGGAUCGUAAAACUCUGUUAUUAGGGAAGAACAAAUGUGUAAGUAACUAUGCACGUCUUGACGGUACCUAAUCAGAAAGCCACGGCUAACUACGUG